rnacentral:rRNA from 1 species
UACAGAGGGUGCAAACGUUGCUCGGAAUUACUGGGCGUAAAGCGCGUGUAGGCGGUUUCGCGAGUCCGAUGUGAAAGCCCGGGGCUCAACCCCGGAAGUGCAUUGGAUACUACGAAGCUUGAGUGCUGGAGAGGAAAGCGGAAUUCCCGGUGUAGAGGUGAAAUUCGUAGAUAUCGGGAGGAACACCAGUGGCGAAGGCGGCUUUCUGGACAGACACUGACGCUGAUACGCGAAAGCGUGGGGAAUCAAACGAGGACGUUAAGGAAACCC